CCUACGGGUGGCAGCAGUGGGGAAUAUUGGGCAAUGGGCGCAAGCCUGACCCAGCAACGCCGCGUGAAGGAAGAAGGCUUUAGGGUUGUAAACUUCUUGUAUCAGGGACGAAGCAAGUGACGGUACCUGAUGAAUAAGCUACGGCUAACUACGUGCCAGCAGCCGCGGUAAUACGUAGGUGGCAAGCGUUAUACGGAUUUACUGGGUGUAAAGGGCGUGUAGGCGGGAGUGCUAGUCAGAUGUGAAAACUAUGGGCUCAACCCAUAGCCUGCAUUUGAAACUGUACUUCUUGAUUGCUGGAGGGGCAAUCUGAAUUCCCUGUGUAGCGGUGAAAUGCGUAGAUAUACGGAGGAACACCAGUGGCGAAGGCGGAUUGCUGGACAGUACCUGCCGCUGAGGCGCGAAAGCGUGGGCAGCACACAGGAUUAGAUCCCCGAGUAGUC
rnacentral:rRNA from 1 species